rnacentral:rRNA from 1 species
UACAGAGGGGGCAAGCGUUAUUCGGAAUUAUUGGGCGUAAAGAGCGUGUAGGCGGCCAGGUAGGUCUGCUGUGAAAACUCGAGGCUUAACCUCGAGAUGUCGGCGGAAACCAUCUGGCUAGAGUCCGGAAGAGGAGAGUGGAAUUCCUGGUGUAGCGGUGAAAUGCGCAGAUAUCAGGAAGAACACCCGUGGCGAAGGCGGUUCUCUGGGACGGUACUGACGCUGAGACGCGAAAGCGUGGGGAGCGAACAGG